rnacentral:rRNA from 1 species
CCUACGGGUGGCAGCAGUCGAGAAUCAUUCACAAUGGGGGAAACCCUGAUGGUGCGACGCCGCGUGGGGGAAUGAAGGUCUUCGGAUUGUAAACCCCUGUCAUGUGGGAGCAAAUUAAAAAGAUAGUACCACAAGAGGAAGAGACGGCUAACUCUGUGCCAGCAGCCGCGGUAAUACAGAGGUCUCAAGCGUUGUUCGGAAUCACUGGGCGUAAAGCGUGCGUAGGCUGUUUCGUAAGUCGUGUGUGAAAGGCGCGGGCUCAACCCGCGGACGGCACAUGAUACUGCGAGAAUAGAGUAGUGGAGGGGGAACCGGAAUUCUCGGUGUAGCAGUGAAAUGCGUAGAUAUCGAGAGGAACACUCGUGGCGAAGGCGGGUUCCUGGACAUUAACUGACGCUGAGGCACGAAGGCCAGGGGAGCGAAAGGGAUUAGAUACCCGUGUAGUC